rnacentral:rRNA from 1 species
AGGCUGCAACCCGCCUGCAUGAAGUCGGAAUUGCUAGUAAUCGCGGAUCAGCAUGCCGCGGUGAAUACGUUCCCGGGCCUUGUACACACCGCCCGUCACACCAUGGGAGCCGGUAAUACCCGAAGUCAGUAGUCCAACCUCGUGAGGACGCUGCCGAAGGUAGGAUUGGCGACUGGGGUGAAGUCGUAACAAGGUAGC